rnacentral:misc_RNA from 1 species
CAUUCAGUAGCCUAGCUACUUGUUUUUACACCCUUGUUUUUUGCGUACCUAUUGUUUCCUCGGCGGGCUUGCUCGCCGGUUGGACAAAACUUAUAACCUUUUUUAAAUCUUCAAUCAGCGUCUGAAUUAUACAUAAUAAUUA